AUUGAACGCUGGCGGCAGGCCUAACACAUGCAAGUCGAGCGAGCGGCGGACGGGUGAGUAAUGUCUGGGCAACUGCCUGAUGGAGGGGGCUAACUACUGGAAACGGUAGCUAAUACCGCAUACCAUCAGAUGUGCCCAGAUGGGAUGAGUUGGUGGGUGGGGUAACGGCUCACCUAGGCGACGAUCCCUAGCUGGUCUGAGAGGAUGUCCAGCCACACGGGAACGGAGACACGGUCCAGACUCCUACGGGAGGCAGCAGUGGGGAAGAUUGGACAAUGGGCGCAAGCCUGAGGCAGCCAUGGCGCGUGUGGGAAGAAGGCCUUCGGGUUGGAAAGCACUUUCAGCGGGGAGGCGUUACCCGCAGAAGAAGCACCGGCUAACUCCGUGCCAGCCGCCGCGGUAAUUC
rnacentral:rRNA from 1 species